rnacentral:rRNA from 1 species
GUGCCAGCAGCCGCGGUAAGACGUAGGGGGCGAGCGUUGUCCGGAUUCAUUGGGCGUAAAGCGCGCGUAGGCGGCCCGGUAAGUCGGAUGUGAAAUCUCACGGCUCAACCGUGGAACUGCAUUCGAAACUGUCGGGCUAGAGGCAGGUAGGGGAGAUCGGAAUUCCCGGUGUAGCGGUGAAAUGCGCAGAUAUCGGGAGGAACACCGGUGGCGAAGGCGGAUCUCUGGGCCUGUCCUGACGCUCAGGCGCGAAAGCUAGGGGAGCAAACAGGAUUAGAAACCCUAGUAGUCC